rnacentral:rRNA from 1 species
AAUGAACGUUGGCGGCAUGGAUUAGGCAUGCAAGUCGGGGGAAUCCCAGCAAUGGGGGAACCGGCGUAAGGGGCAGUAAGGCAUGGGUACCUACCUUGGGGUUCGGGAUAGCCAUCAGAGAUGGUGGGUAAUACCGGAUGACGUCGUGAGACCAAAGAUUCAUCGCCCUUAGAGGGGCCCAUGUGAUAUUAGCUAGUUGGUGGGGUAACGGCCCACCAAGGCGAAGAUGUCUAGCGGGUGUGGGAGCACGACCCGCGCCACUCGCCCUGGGACACUGGCGAGACACCUACGGGUGGCUGCAGUCGAGGAUCUUCGGCAAUGAGCGCAAGCUUGACCGAGCGAUGCCGCGUGAGCGAUGAAGGCCUUCGGGUUGUAAAGCUCUUUAGUGGGGGAGAAAAGCCGCAAGGUGUGAUCUAUCCCAAAAAUAAGCACGGGCUAAGUUCGUGCCAGCCGCCGCGGUAA